rnacentral:lncRNA from 1 species
UAUGAAAAGAAACAAGAAAAAGAAAUCACCCUUGAAACCAUAGAGCAAAGAAAAAGAAAAGAAAGAAAAAAAAACAAAGAAAAGGCUCAUGGUUGUGUGGAUGUAAAAAGAAAAAGAAAAGAAAAAGACGGGGAUCAAAGAAAUGGAAAUUGUGUAGAGUUGAAUGUAUGGGAAUGCUCCCUUAGGAUAGACAACUUUGUUGAAUUCUCUUAAUCAUAUCCUUUCUUGUAA